rnacentral:rRNA from 1 species
AACGAACGCUAGCGGCAUGCCUAACACAUGCAAGUCGAACGAGACCUUCGGGUCUAGUGGCGCACGGGUGCGUAACGCGUGGGAACCUGCCCUUAGGUUCGGAAUAACUCCCCGAAAGGGGUGCUAAUACCGGAUAAUGUCUUCGGACCAAAGAUUUAUCGCCUUUGGAUGGGCCCGCGUUGGAUUAGCUAGUUGGUAGGGUAAAAGCCUACCAAGGCGACGAUCCAUAGCUGGUCUGAGAGGAUGAUCAGCCACACUGGGACUGAGACACGGCCCAGACUCCUACGGGAAGCAGCAGUGGGGAAUAUUGGACAAUGGGCGAAAGCCUGAUCCAGCAAUGCCGCGUGAGUGAUGAAGGCCUUAGGGUUGUAAAGCUCUUUUACCCGGGAUGAUAAUGACAGUACCGGGAGAAUAAGCUCCGGCUAACUCCGUG